rfam:Pan troglodytes isolate Yerkes chimp pedigree #C0471 (Clint) chromosome 2B, whole genome shotgun sequence.
AUCUUUUUAUAGUUCAUAAGUGUGAUGAUUGGGUUUUUAUGCUCUUGUAUGUGAUGCCCCUCCCUCAAAUCUUGUCAUGAUGUUGGCACAUUACCCAUCUGAUG